CGGGGACGGGGCGGCGGGCAUGGGGCUGCGGGGUGAGCUGUGCUGCCCCCAGGUCCUGCGUGCGGGCGCUGAGCCGGGCCGGCUGUGGGACGAGGACGCGGUCAGCUUCUUCGUGGACAGCGGGGACGGGGAGCCGGGCACCCUGCUGUACGACUACGGGAAGCUCCUGCUGAGUUACAGACCGCAGCUGAGCGCCCAGUGCUUCGUCACCCGCAUGGAUGGGGAGCAAAUCCCAGGGCUGGACGCUGCCGUCCGGGCGUUCAGGGAGCGGCAGGCCGCCCCUGGCCCCCCCAUGGCGGUGGCUGCGCGCUCCCUGCUGGGCCCCACGGCGAGCAUCCUGUGCAGCGCCGUCCCCAUUUUCUGGGCUUGACUCGGUGAGUGCCCCACUGAUGUGGGGGGGGGACCCCCGCUGCCCCCCCCAUCUGCCCCACGGAUCCUUCACCCUUCGCUUUGCAUCGCAGCGCCCCCAGCGCUGCAAAACCCCCCCGGCCUCCUCCGUGUGGGGGGCAAACGCCACCAGCACUGCAUCCCUGCAUGCA
rnacentral:lncRNA from 1 species